GCUUACGGCCACACCGCCUGGUUCCAGCCCGAUCUCGUUUGAUCUCGGGAAGAUAAGAUAGGUUGGGCCUGGUUAGUACUUGGAUGGGAGACCGCCUAGGGAUACCAGGUGCUGUAAGGC
rnacentral:rRNA from 1 species